GCCAAUGUAGCUCAGUUGGUAGAGCACGUCCAUGGUAAGGACGGGGUCGCCGGUUCAAUCCCGGCCAUUGGCU
rnacentral:tRNA from 1 species